rnacentral:rRNA from 1 species
AGAGUUUGAUCCUGGCUCAGGACGAACGCUGGCGGCGUGCCUAACACAUGCAAGUCGAACGGAGAUUUCAGCAAUGAAAUCUUAGUGGCGAACGGGUGAGUAACGCGUAGACAACCUGCCUUUUAGAUGGGGACAACACUGGGAAACUAGUGCUAAUACCGAAUGUUGUAUUUUGAUUGCAUAAUCGAGAUACUAAAGAUGACCUCUAUUCAUAAGCUAUCGCUAAAAGAUGGGUCUGCGUCUGAUUAGCUAGUUGGUGAGGUAAUGGCUCACCAAGGCGACGAUCAGUAGCCGGUCUGAGAGGAUGAACGGCCACACUGGGACUGAGACACGGCCCAGACUCCUACGGGAGGCAGCAGUGGGGAAUCUUCCGCAAUGGACGCAAGUCUGACGGAGCAACGCCGCGUGAGUGAAGAAGGUUUUCGGAUCGUAAAACUCUGUUUUCAGGGACGAAUGUGCGAUGUGUGAAUAAUGCAUUGUAAUGACGGUACCUGAGUAGAAAGCCACGGCUAACUACGUGCCAGCAGCCGCGGUAAUACGUAGGUGGCAAGCGUUGUCCGGAAUUAUUGGGCGUAAAGCGCGCGCAGGUGGGAUAUUAAGUCUGGUGUUAAAGUUCGGGGCUCAACCCCGUGAAGCAUUUGGAAACUGAUAUUCUUGAGUGCAGGAGAGGAAAGUGGAAUUCCUAGUGUAGCGGUGAAAUGCGUAGAUAUUAGGAGGAACACCAGUGGCGAAGGCGGCACCCUAAGCCGUACCUGACACUGAGACGCGACAGCACGGGGAGCAAACGGGAUUAGAAACCCCGGUAGUCCGUGCCGUAAACGAUGCCAGCUAGACGUUCGGGUUCCGAGAGGGACUUGGGUGUCGCAGUCAACGCGAUAAGCUGGCCGCCUGGGGAGUACGGUCGCAGGGCUAAAACUCAAAGGAAUUGACGG